GUGAAUCAUCAAAUCUUUGAACGCAUAUUCCACCAUCUGGUAUUCCGGAGAGUAUGCCUAUUUGAGGUUCAUUUGAAAUAAUAUAAAUUUCGAGAUUUUCUUGAAAUCAAAAAUGGGUCGAUCCAGCUUUCGUUUGUCAGUCGCCUAAAAUGCAAGACAAGCUCAUUUCUUGGGUUACGAGAUACUUUCAGUUAUCUCUUUACUUCCAAAUAAAUCAUC
rnacentral:misc_RNA from 1 species